rnacentral:rRNA from 1 species
CUACGUAGGGUGCGAGCGUUGUCCGGAAUUACUGGGCGUAAAGAGCUCGUAGGUGGUUUGUCGCGUCGUCUGUGAAAUUCCGGGGCUUAACUCCGGGCGUGCAGGCGAUACGGGCAUAACUUGAGUACUGUAGGGGAGACUGGAAUUCCUGGUGUAGCGGUGAAAUGCGCAGAUAUCAGGAGGAACACCGGUGGCGAAGGCGGGUCUCUGGGCAGUAACUGACGCUGAGGAGCGAAAGCAUGGGUGGGGAACAGGAUUAGAUACCCUGGUAGUCCAUGCCGUAAACGGUGGGCGCUAGGUGUAGGGGUCUUCCACGACUUCUGUGCCGUAGCUAACGCAUUAAGCGCCCCGCCUGGGGAGUACGGCCGCAAGGCUAAAACUCAAAUGAAUUGACGGGG